AGCCUAUGAUACAUUGAUCGGCGUUGUGCCAACAACCAUUGCUAUGUUUUAUAUACAUUCAGCUUAACUGUGCUGGAUAACAAGGACGCGUUAUUCAAAAUUUGAUGAAAGAAAUAUAGUUAAGUGAUUAAUUAUUUUGAGUUUUGUUUUCGAAAGGUUCAUUUUCUUAGGGCAGGCGUUGAUUGCUAUCAAGAAUGGGAAGCGGACGAGGCAGUGGUAAAGGUGACGAUGAUUCAUUUGUUAAAUGUGUAUGUAUAUGGAUGGGUGUCGGUAUAUUCUUGCAAGUUCUAAAGUUCAUAAUUGGUUUAGUUUACUUGAAUGAUUGUCAAGCAAAUCGAUCAAUUCCGAUUUAUCUGGCUGGAUCAGCAGGUGUCGAAACAGUUGUUGAUAUACUGUUCUUAAUAGGAGCUCUAUGCGCGACUUCGGCAACGAUGCAAAUCAUCUUGAUAGUACCAGUCGAACACUGCAUUGGAAUACUCGUCGGAAGUUUUCUGGUAUUCUGGAAUUAUUCAUACCUGGUUGGUGGAUGCGAUGGUGCCGAGGAAUGCUGUGACAAAACUGUUAUCAUAUUCGCUUUCGUUGUUUCUAUCAUUGAAUGGGUACUGAUUAUAAUCCCUGUUUUUGGAAUUUUGUGCGCUUAUGUUAUUGACAAACUUCGCAUCUGUACAUAAAGAGCAAAAAGACGUACAGAUGCUAUCAAUCUUAUUAAACUUACAUUGUUAAUCGUCAAACAAUUUUGUCAAUGAAGUGCAUGAAUAUGUGCAUAUACAAAUUCAAUGCAAUGCAAUUUAAUCGAAAUGUUUUGAAGAGUGUAUGCUUGUUUUUGAAACUGAAGAGCAAUUCAAUCAUAUCCAGACAUGAAUGUAUCCGUGUAACUGCUUUAUAUCAUAAUCUAACAAAACUUCACUUUUACUUGAAUGUUUAUGAUAUUGACAAAAUCACAUAUAACGUACAUGUCUAUUGACAUAGAUUAAUAUGCUGCUUUGAAAGAAAUAAAACUUCAUUUUUACUUGAAUUUUAAUGAUAUGGACGAACUGCAAUUUUAAAUCAUGAACAAAAUGAUGUUGUGUUAAAAAGAAUUAAUUCAAAAAGUCAAGAAAGUUGGCACAGAGAUCGGUAUUAAACAUUCAGCUCGACAUUCGAUUUAUUAAUGAAAAGAUAGGAUGGGAAUCUGGCUAGACAUUCAGCAUACCAUUCAGCUAGGCAUUCGAUCUUUCAGUGUUGAGAUGGGAGUUACAGUUGGCUGGACAUUUAGCACACUAUUAAACUCGACAUUCGUUAUGUCUCUUUACUGAAUGAAGAGCUGAAAUUUGAAUCUGGCAAGACAUUCAGCAAAACAUUCGUUUUUUUUGUCUUCUUUUUGAAUGCAGAGCUGGAUUGUGAUACUGGCUAGUUAUUCAGCACAACAUUCACUUCAACAUUCGUUUUUUUGGUUGUUCUUUUUCAAUGUCGAGCUGGGAUGUGAAGCUUGCUAGACAUUGAUCACAUCAAACAGCUCGACUUUCGUUUUUCGUCUUUUUCUUUUAAAUUUCAAUGUGAUACUGGUCGGAUUUUCAGCACAACAUUCAGCUCAACUUUUUUUGUUCUUUUUUAAUGUCGGGCUGUGUUAUGAAGAAUCUUAGGCUUUCAGCACAAACUUUGGCUGAACGUUCGUGUUUUGUUUCUUUAUGAAUGUCAAUGUUUCGGCGUCCUGUGAACGUUGCCUUUGCCUUGUUGAUCUUUAUUCUUGUUAUUUUGAAGCUGGCUAGACAUUCAGCACAAACGUUAAGCUCGAUGUUUCAUUUCAACGUUGAGCUUAGAUGUGAAAGUGGCUAGGCAUUCAGCUCGAUAUCCGUUUUUAGUCUCUUUUUGAAUGUUAAACCGAGAUAUUUACCUGGCUGGACAUUCAGUUCAGCAUUAAGCUCGAUAUUUGUUUUGUCUCAAUUUUGAACGUUGAGCAGGGAUGUGAAGCUGGUUAUACAUUCAGUACGACUUUCAGCUUCACAUUCGAUUUUUGUAUCUUUAUUAAUGUCAAUAUUUGAAGCUGGCUAUAGAUUUAGCACAACAUAAAGCUGGACAUUCGUUUCGUGUCUCUAUUUUUAGUGUCGAACUAACUGAGACGUGAAGCUGGCUAGACAUUUUGUCCGAUCGACAUUGUUUUUUGUCUAUUUUCUAAAUGUCUAGUUGGGAUUUGAAGCUGGCUAGACAUUUAGCAUAUCACUAAUCUCGACAGUAUUUUUUAGCUCACCUUUCACAAAGUAAGCUUUUGUGAUCGCUUUUCGUCCGGUGUCCGUCCGUAAAUUUUACCCUAAACGACAUCUCAUGAACCGCAAAGCCAAUUUCAUCCAAACUUCAAAGGAAUGUUUCUUUGGUAGUCAACUUUAAAAAUUGUUCCCAAGCAGAACUCUGGUUGACAUGGCAACCGAAAGAAAAAACUUAAAUAUCUUCUAUAAAAAACCGAAAGAGCUAGAGCUUAACUAGUUUGCAUGAAACAUCGUCUAGUCAGUGUCUUCCAAGUUUGUUCAAAUAAAUGUCCUGGGGUUAAAAUUGGCCCCGACCCGAUUUUCAUUAUUUGUAUAAAGUAAAAAAUUAAAAAGUCUUCUUUUAAAAAACCCAAAUAGCUAGAGCUUAGAUAUUAAGCAUGAAACAUCCUCUAGUGGCUGUCUACCAAGUUUGUUCAAAUAAAAGCCCUCCACUCGCGAGGGUCAUUGAUUUUCCGUAUUUGUAAAAGUAAAAACUUAAAAAAAUCCUCUUUAAAAAAACAAAACAGCUAGAGCUUGGAUAUUAAGCAUGAAACAUCUUCUAGCGGGUGUCUACCAUGUUUGUUCAAAUAAAAGCCCUGGGGUAAAAAUUGGUCCCACCCAUGGGGUCAUCGUUCUUCCAUUUAUGUAUAUAUAGUAAAAAACAGAAAAAAAUCUACUUUAAAAAAAACCCAAAGAGCUAGAGCUGAGAUAUUUAGCAUGAAACAUCUUCAAAUGGGUGUCUACAACGUUUGUUCAAAUAAGGCCCUUGGGUUAAAAUUGGCCUUGUCCCGGGGUCAUUGAUUUUCCUUAUAUAUGUAUAGUAAAAAGACUUAAAAAAUCUUCUUAUAACAACCCAAUGAACAAGAGUUUAGAUACUAAGCAUGAAAUAUCUUCUAGUGAGUGUCUACCAAGUUUGUUCAAAUAAAAGCCCUGGGGUCAAAAUUGGCCCCUGCUAGCGGAGGUCAUCGUUUUCCCUAUAUGUAUAAAGUAAAAUCUUUAAAAAAAUCUUCUUUUAAAAACCCUAAAGAGCUAAAGCUAAGAUAUUUAGUAUAAAACAUCUUCAAAUGGGUGUCUACCAAGUUUGUUCAAAUAAAAGUCCCUGGUUUAAAAUUGACCUUGGCCCAGGGGCCUUUAUACAUGUGAGCGAUUUCAGGGCCAUUUUGGCCCUCUUGCUUCUAUUCGAAUGUUGAGCUGGAAUGUGAAGCUGGCUAGAAAUUCAGCACAAGAUCUGCCAAUGAAAUGAACCAGCAAAUACACAGAUAACAGAAGUCAGCAAGCACACAACGCAAAUUUGUUUCUUACUUUUUGAGCACCCAUUAUGUGGGGGAGGGGGCAUUUAGAUUUACCCUUGUCCGUCCGUCCGUUCUCUUUUUGUGUCACACGUAGCUCAAAAAGUAAUUGACCUAGAGUCAUGAAACGUUAUAGGAAUGUUGCUUAACUUGUGUAAUUGUGCACCUGGGUAUUUUUUGUGUGAAUAUAUUUAGUACUUUUAGAGAUAUUGCCCUUGAAUUAGUAAAAAAUUUCCAAUUUUCAACUUGUGUCGCAUGUAUCUAAAAAAGUCUUUGACCUAGAGUCAUGAAACCUUACAGGAAUGUUGCUCAGCAUAUGUAGUUGUGCACCUGCGUAUUUUCGUGUGGAUGUUAUUUGUAUUUAUUCGAGUUAUUGCCCUGAAUUGGUAAAAAUUUCCAAUUUUCAACUUGUGUCGCACGUAACUAAAAAUGUAUUUGACCUAGAGGAAUGUUGCUCAGCAUGUGCAGAUGUGCACUUGGGUAUUUUCGGGUGGAUAUUUUUAGUAUUUUUAGAGUUAUUGCCCUUGACUUAGUAAAUAUUUCCAAUUUUAAACUUACACGUAAUUCAAAAAGUAUUUGACCUGUAUGCCUGAAAGUUAACAAGCAUGUUGGUCAGCAUGUGUACUUGUGCAUCUUGGGUUUUUCGUGUGCAUUUAUCAGUAUUUGUAGUAUUUGCCCUUUACUUAAUAAACGAUUUUAAGUUUACAACUUGGGCACAUGUACCAAAAAAAGAUUUGACCUAGAUGCAUAAGAUUGACAAAUCGGUGGAGUGUGGGGGCACCCGUGUCCUUUGGACACAUUUCUAGUGUUAUAUAGACUUACACGACAAAAUAACAAAAAAAUGAAAUAAAGACAAUGUUCAAUUUUCAAUCAUUUGAUGCACAUCUCCAUUUAUAAACAUUCAUGUUUUUUGUAUACAUGUAUUGUAUUCCAUAAAUCAUAGACACCGA